CUUUAGAGAUUAGGAAUAGCCCCAGGAAAAAGAAAAAUCUUCUUCCUUCUCUCCUAAAAAUUAAGCCCAAAUCUGAUGUCUCUACUCCUGCUUUUCACAGUCUUGCAUAAUGAUCUACAUGAAAACUUUAGAGUAAAAAAGCCAAAUGCUUCAUGCUCUAAAUUCUGAAGUGGAACAAUUGCAGUGCUCUUGACAUUUUUCAUUUUCCUUUGGAUGUUUUCCUUUCAAAACAAAGUGUAGUCAUAAAGGGAUCUGCUAGUGGGGCUCCCUGUUUCAAAGAAAUACAUGUAUAUUCCUUAUAUCCACCCUACAUAACCACAAAUGGAUAUGGUGCUUUUAUAUGGCUUUUACUGUUUUUCCAAACAUUCCUAUUUACUGCUGCUUCAAAGAAGGCAGAGUCAAGUGCCCUGUGGAAUCCUCACUCUCCCUCCACACACAGCUCUCACAGUUGAAAGGAAGUUGCAGUAUUAUUUCUUCCCCUGCCCUCUAUUAUUAUUGUUGUUAUUAUUAACAAUAGCACGUGAUGAUCUGGUGAGGAGCCUCAUACCUUCAGCUCCUGUGGGAGUCACUGAUGAACAAUAUUCUCAUAAAGGUUAUUUGUCCACAAUGUACUAGUAGUAUGGUCAAUUCUACCCACUUUCCAGCUCAUCUCCAAGUGCAGGAGAAAGGUCAGGGUUGUCAGAGAAGGAGAUGUCUGGAAGGAAAGUGUUCCUCACGGGUAGGGUACCCUGGGGUUCUUUGGGAGCAGGCUUAGAUAGAGCAUCUUCUGCCAUGCCUUAAUCCUGAUUAGUGCUGAAGAUGCACAGACAACAACGUGCUGACCUGUUUCAUUGCACAGUGGCAUGGUUGCAUUUCUCUGUGAAUAAAUAUUUCCUUUCCCUUUAUUUACAAGAACACCACGGUUUUUGGGGGGCGGGGGAGAAGAAUUCAUUUUUCCACAUCUUUUUCUUCCUUUUGAUUCACUGCCUAAUUUUUUAUGCUGCAAGACAGACUCACUUUUUAAGCUUUGUUUCCUUUUUUUUGUUUAUUUUAGCUGCUACUGAUUAGUUCAAGAAAAAAGUUUGAAUGCCUUAUCUAAUAGAUGGCACAUGUGCAUGGCUUUCAUCACUUUGCCAUCCCUCCACAAGAUUUCAUCACAUUUGCCUGGAAUUUCAUCUGUAACACACACCAUAGAGCUGGUCCCAAGGAAAAGAGACAGCGGCUCACUACAUGACAUCUUUCUCUUAAGAUACCAUUUCCUUCUGCGUGGCCCCUAUUUGCCAGAUUGGCAAGAGGGGUUCCCCCCUUUGCCACAUUAGUUUGUCUUAAUUGCUGCAGUGCUACUGAGCAACAUGUGGCAAACAGCUUUAUUGCCAAGACCAGCCCAGCAAGCUGGGAUGGAUGAAGAAGUGGUUUCCAGCUGGGAUGAUCCUCAAUAUUUUAAGUUAGACUUUCUUGGAGAAUGGAAGAAGAGAUUGGGUUUUGUUCCCUGCAUAUGAUUCACCGUAACUGGCAGUAUCUCCCAUGGCACAGAAGGAUACCAGAAACCUGAUGUAAAAGUUUCUCCUCCAGGAGAUCAUAUUGAUUUCUUAUUCAUUGAAAAAGCCUAAGAUGUCUUCAGUCUAACACUUCUUAGCAGCUAAUCUGAAGCAAACCUGGAGAGUACAACUGUGUAACCUGAGAGUUCUUACCCAGCCCUGUUGGACCACAUCACAGCAGAGUUUGUGGUCAACUAAAAAGUGUGUCACUGCAGAGUUCAGGCAUGCCUUGAGACAAGAGUAACUACUCGUGCUCUAUCUAUCCUACGUACUCCUUUUUAGAGCACCUCCCAGACAUUACGGUGUUUAUCCUCUUAGCACCUCUGUAAUUAUCUCUCUUGUAACAGAUGGGAAACAGAAGAAAAUGGAGAUUUUGCAAUUUGAGCUGAGCCAGGCAGGAGCUCUUUGGCAGAAGAGGCCUCCCGAGGGAUAAACACAAUCCAGAAGAUGACUGCAGAGGGAAAUGUGACCUGCAGCAUGCAUAGUCUCCACUGUGAAACAAACUACUGCUGGACAUGUACGCCUCUUUAGUUCCCACGCCACACAACAACUGCACUGGGCUAGGAUGCUUCAUAGGAGACAGCAUCUUGUAAAAGCAGUCGGGGUCUAUGAGAAAACACCACAAUAAACACCACAAAACACAAGAAGGAGCCCGCCAGCUGCAGAAAGCCAGCAACAGGAUCAAAAGAGAAGUGUCCCAGGUACAAACAAGAGAUGGGGCUGUUCGCACCACUGAAGCGGGAAGGGAAGAAAACGUGAAGAUUUAGCCCAGUUCUGUUGGCAUCAAGUGGACAUG